rnacentral:SRP_RNA from 2 species
GCCGGGCACGAUGGCUCAUGCCUGUAAUCCCAGCACUUUGGGAGGCUGAGGCGGGUGAAUCACCUGAGGUCAGGAGUUUGAGACCAGCCUGGCCAACAUGGUGAAACCCCGUCUCUA